UUUUUACCUUGCUGUCGGCAGGUUACGUGGCGGCAUCCCUGUCAGCUUGUGGGAGGAUCUUCUAUCUGCAAAGGCUGCUUCAUCUUGGAAUACACAUCGGCGCAUGCGGAAUGCUGACCUGCUGCCUGGGACGCUUCUAGUCGGCUCUUUGCCGCCACCGAUGUCGCUGAAGUCAACGCCCCUGACGUCACGUCCAUCUGCGGUUAUUUAAACCUCGCUUCCACCGGCCUACUCUGCAGUCAGCGGCAGACCGUGACCAGCAAGUGACUGUUUUUACCUUGCUGUCGGCAGGUUACGUGGCGGCAUCCCUGUCAGCUUGUGGGAGGAUCUUCUAUCUGCAAAGGCUGCUUCAUCUUGGAAUACACAUCGGCGCAUGCGGAAUGCUGACCUGCUGCCUGGGACGCUUCUAGUCGGCUCUUUGCCGCCACCGAUGUCGCUGAAGUCAACGCCCCUGACGUCACGUCCAUCUGCGGUUAUUUAAACCUCGCUUCCACCGGCCUACUCUGCAGUCAGCGGCAGACCGUGACCAGCAAGUGACUGUUUUUACCUUGCUGUCGGCAGGUUACGUGGCGGCAUCCCUGUCAGCUUGUGGGAGGAUCUUCUAUCUGCAAAGGCUGCUUCAUCUUGGAAUACACAUCGGCGCAUGCGGAAUGCUGACCUGCUGCCUGGGACGCUUCUAGUCGGCUCUUUGCCGCCACCGAUGUCGCUGAAGUCAACGCCCCUGACGUCACGUCCAUCUGCGGUUAUUUAAACCUCGCUUCCACCGGCCUACUCUGCAGUCAGCGGCAGACCGUGACCAGCAAGUGACUGUUUUUACCUUGCUGUCGGCAGGUGCUGCAGACGGGACAGUCGUCGCAGCAGUGAGCAUCAUGGUGGCUGGCGCGCCUGGCCAGGCACCCCAGCGUCGGCGUCGGCUGCGGCGGUGGUUCGAAGGCGCGACGGGAGGAGGCGGCUUGGCCAUCUUGAGCGCGCGAGUGGGCUGCGACUCAAAAGUACCGACGAAGGCAACUGUCGAGAGUCUGUUGAAUGCGACUGUAGACUGUCGGGCCACCGGCAGGCGGCAGCAGCAGCGCUAGCAAGAGCUACAAAGACGGCACUGAAUUCCGAGAAGCGGCGAGAAGAGAUGGGCGGCAGAGGAUGGAGAGUCGCGACGCUACCUGGACACGGUGUUCCUCCCCCUUUACACGGGGACACACAAGACAACCGUGGUACGUGUACUUAGUGCUUGCAAUGGAUGCAGGCACAAGGAAACCAAUGUCUGAGGCGACCAAAUCACUAUGUCACCUCACUCCUCUGUGACGCGCCCGUAGUCGCACGCCCCCGCUUUCUCAGCAUUUAGUGGCGAGUCUCAAACACGCCAAGCGUCCCUCUACAGCUGCGUACAAUGACGACGCAAAGUACGGAACGACGGUCCUUUGAAAACAAGACCAUGUACACGAAGGCCACUAAACCUACUAUACAUGUAAUACCAUGUUCCCCGGUAAGGGGCCUCAGUUAGUGAUGGACGCUGUAUAUUUAAGGACGCCAUUUUGGGAAUAAAGUCAUUCUCACACUUG